AACGCGAAGAACCUUACCAGGUCUUGACAUCCCACUGACCGGUAUAGAGAUAUACCUUUCCCUUCGGGGACAGUGGUGACAGGUGGUGCAUGGUUGUCGUCAGCUCGUGUCGUGAGAUGUUGGGUUAAGUCCCGCAACGAGCGCAACCCUUGAUCUUAGUUGCCAGCAUUUAGUUGGGCACUCUAAGGUGACUGCCGGUGACAAACCGGAGGAAGGUGGGGAUGACGUCAAAUCAUCAUGCCCCUUAUGACCUGGGCUACACACGUGCUACAAUGGAUGGUACAAAGGGCUGCGAGACUGCGAAGUCAAGCCAAUCCCAUAAAACCAUUCUCAGUUCGGAUUGCAGGCUGCAACUCGCCUGCAUGAAGCUGGAAUCGCUAGUAAUCGUGGAUCAGCAUGCCACGGUGAAUACGUUCCCGGGCCUUGUA
rnacentral:rRNA from 1 species